UACAGAGGUCUCAAGCGUUGUUCGGAUUCAUUGGGCGUAAAGGGUGCGUAGGCGGCGCGGUAAGUCGGGUGUGAAAUCUUGGAGCUUAACUCCGAAACUGCAUUCGAUACUGCCGUGCUUGAGGACUGGAGAGGAGACUGGAAUUUACGGUGUAGCGGUGAAAUGCGUAGAUAUCGUAAGGAAGACCAGUGCGAAGGCGGGUCUCUGGACAGUUCCUGACGCUGAGGCACGAAGGCCAGGGGAGCAAACGGG
rnacentral:rRNA from 1 species